AACAGUGGAGAGAUUUGAGUAGCUUGCAACCACAGAAAAAAAUGCUAAAAAAUA
rnacentral:ncRNA from 2 species